rnacentral:rRNA from 1 species
ACCAGCUUGAAACUCAAAGGACUUGACAGUAUCUCAUACACCCCUAGAGGAGCCUGUCCUAUAAUCGAUAACCCACGAUAUACCUCACCCGUCCUAGCACCACUCAGCCUAUAUACCUCCGUCGCCAGUCCGCCUGUUAACAGACACUAAAGCGAAUAUAAUAGUCAACCCCUCAUACGACAGGUCAAGGUGUAGCUAAUGAACUGGGCA